GGAAUUAUUUAUUUAUUAAUAAUUAUUAACCUCUUGGGGGGUUGAAUAUUUAUUGAAUUAAGACAUUUCAGCGUUACAUUUUUUAACAUUUAUUUUAAAAGUUUUCUAAAAACAUAAUUCCCUUUUUUCUUUAAGGGGUAUUGUUUGUCAGACAGCGACACAACAUCUCAAUUUAAUUAAUUCAGGAAAUAACACAACAAAAUGUGGAAAAAGUCAAGAGGUAUGAAUAAUCUGGAGGCACUGUAUGAAGUGCUUUGAAAGACUGGUCAUGACACACAUCAACACCGUCAUCACAGUCCCACUCCAAUUAACAUACUGCCCCAACAGAUCCACAGAUGUCACAAUCUCAUUUGCAAUUCACACUGACCUGUCUCACCUGGACAAGAAUGCUACAGUUUAGGGUUCAACACCAUAGUCCCCUCCAAGCUCAUCACCAAUGUAGGGACCCUGGGACUGAACCCCUCCCUCUGCAACUGGAUCCUGGACUUCCUGACAGGCCGGCCACAUGUGAUGAGGGUGACAGUGGAAGGAGAAAUGUUCUUCAACAGCCUGUAGAACUGCAAGAAAACCAGUAUCUGGUGCAAGAUGUUGACUGUUCAACCCAGAGCAGGAGACCCACAUUGUAAAUACGGUCAUUGCAAAUAACGACUCGGAGAACUGCAGGACCACAUAAUGGCAGAUAACACCAUAUUCCAAACGUCGACAGAGUGAGUCUCUCUGCAAUGUCUCAUCUACUGAAACGCAAUAGAAUGAGGAUGAAGCAGCUGUACAGAGUCCCUUUCGGGAAAAAACUCAGACCGUGUAAAACAAUUGAGAUAUUUGCAGAGAAUGAUGGAGCUAGAAGCAGAUGCAGUGCAUCGUGAGCUAAUAUAUGUGGAAAGGGCAUGUUUCAACCUUGCAAAAACAAGGGGCCGCGGCAGAAAUAUCAUCAGACACCGUGCAAUCAUCAACAUCCUGGGAGGACGUGGUGGCAACAUAACAAUGUGUGCGGUUAUUAGUUAAAACGGCGUCCUUCGCCAUCAUGCAAUCCUAGGCCCAUACAACACUGCACACAUUAUCACAUUUCUGGACAUCCUACCCAACAGACUAAUCCCUAAUGACCAAGGGCCAGAGCAGCCCAGGUACGUUAUCAUCUGGGACAAUAUUAGUUUCCACCGGGCUGCUGUGGUUCACAAUUGGUUCACAGGUCACCCACUUUUCAUAACACACAAUCUCCCCCCAUACUCUCCGUUCUUGAAUCCCAUUGAAUAAUUCUUCUCUGCAUGACGUUGGAAGGUGUAUGAUCGCCAACCCCACCAACGCAUACCCCUUCUACAGGGAAUUGAGGAGGCUUGUGGAGACAUCGAUCAGGGGUCAUGCCAGGCCUGGAUACGGCACUCCAAGCCAUACUUUCCAUGCUGCCUAGCUCAAUACAACAUUGCAUGUGGAUGAAGUCUUAUUGCCAGACUAACAAAUAAGGCGAGAUGUAGCCCCAAAAAAUUGUUCUUUUUUUUCUCAAGCACAAAUGUUUUUGUAUUCUUCUACUGAGAGCUUUUGUUGUUUGAGGAGUGUUAGAAUUGGUUUUGUAUUGAUAGUGUGUUUGGAAUACACAUCCAAACUUUUACACAUUUGGAUACCUGUGUGUAUGUGUGUUUACUACAUGUAUGACAAAACUUUAUUGCAAACUGUUAUGCCCUGCACACAGAAAAAGCAAAAGUGUUUUUCAUUUAUACCAUCAGUGAGUAGUUGGUGCUUCAUGUUCUUAUUCAAAUGAUGGUCUGUGUGUACUGUAUUGACGCAAAAAAAAAACUUUUUUAAAAGAGUUAAGAGUUUUGCAAGAAUUGCUUGCUUUUGCAAGAGAUGUGUAAUGUUUUGCUGGUUCGGUGUAAGGUCUUGUGGUUGGUGUGUAGAGUUUUGCAAACAUAGUGCCAAGCAAUAAAAAAAACUGUAAAGCUCUGAGUUAUUAAUAUGUAAUGUAUGUGUUAGAUGUACAAUAAUUGAAUUACCCUAGCUAGCUAGUUACACCCCAAAGGUUGACGUCCGUGCUCCCGCGGAAAUCUAAUUAGCAUAAUAAAAGUAUUAGCAAAAUAAUCUGCAGUUUAAAUUAGAGAUAUCAAUAAUUUUUUUUAUACAUUGGAUGCGUCUCAAUCCAACACAUUCGCCUAUGUAACACUUACACAUCUGUGGUGAAAGGUGACAGAGCUAGAGCGGUGUUUGUCAGAUCAUGAGACAUCCAGAACAUCGGUCUUCUGGCAAAAUCAUCUGUAGUGUCCGAGCAGUUUGGCCUACCCCUCCAUGGAAAGAUGAGACUCUCAGGAACAUGUACAUUUUGCUCUCGGACGACCACAGGCCUCACUCGUCUGAAGGUUUCCUGAAAAAAAGUACGGAGGUAAAGUGCAUUCAGAGAGUAGUCACACCCCUUGACUUUUACUACAAUUUACAGCUUUAUAAUGAUACGGAUAAAAUAGUUUUUUCCCCUCAUCAGUCUACACACAAUACCCCAUAAUGACAAAGCAAAAACUGUUUUUUAGAAAUGUUUGCAAAAUAGUUUUUUAAAGAAGGAAAUAUCACAUUUACGUAAGUAUACAGACCUUUACUCAGUAAUUUGUCGAAGCACCUUUGGCAUUGGUUACAGCCUCAAGUCUUCUUGGGUAUGACACUAAUUGCUUGGCAUACCAGUAUUUUUGGUAGUUUCUCCCAUUCUUCUCUGCAGAUCCUCUCAAGCUCUGUCAGGUUGGAUGGGGAGCGUUGCUGCACAGCUAUUUUUAGGUCACUCCAGAGAUGUUCGAUCAGCUUCAGGUCCGGGCUCUGGCUGGGCCACUCAAGGACAUUCAGAGACUUGCCCCGAAGCCACUCUUGCAUUGUCUUGGCUGUGUACUUAAGGUCAUUGUCCUAAUGGAAGGUGAACCUUGUUGGGGAUUAAUCAGAAUAGUUGGGUAACAUAGAUAAGAUGUUUUAUUUUCAUUAUAUGCUUGUGAGUUAUUUCUCAUAUAGAAUGUAUCUUGUUGUACUAUAGUGGUGGCCGGUUGCAGUUAUCUGUUCUCUGUCAGGGUUCAGUUACUUGGGCCGCAGAGAGGGGAGAGGUCAAGCUUGUCUUCAUAUGUAAACAUAUAUUUUAAACCAUGUGAAUGGAUGAUUGAGGGGGAACCAAUUAUCUCUUGGCUCCACAAUGUCUGUGUGCCAGUCACUGUGUCUCCAUGAGCUUGUCCAGAAUGGGAGUGUCUAAAAUGACAAUUGAUAUAUAUCCUAAUGUCUUGGUACUAUGUUGUACCAAGAACGAGAAGUAGAACCUCGUUUUAGGAGAGCAAACUGAACAAUAAUUUAUAGCUAAUGCUGUCUGGUUUGGAAUACCGUAAUUGCUGGACCAUUAAGCGCACCUGAAUAUAAACCGCACCCACUGAAUUAUAAAAAAAAUUGUAUUUUGUACAUAAAUACGCCGCACAUGUCUAUAAGCCGCAGGUGCCUACCGGUACAUUGAAACAAAUGAACUUGGUCACUAUCUUCCUCCUCCUGUGCACUGAAACCACUGAAGUCAUCUCCUUCGGUGUCGGAGAUGAAUAGCCUCAGAAUUGCUUCAUCCGAUGUUGGAUCGUUUUCAUUGUCGCUCUCGUCACUUUCAUCCGGAGGCAAAUACCCCGCUGAGCUCAUGCUGCCCCUUCAACACGCAGCAGUCCAGCCUUUCGAAACCCGUUGAUGAUAGUGGAUUUUUUGACAAUGCUCCACGCUGUCAGGACCCACUGGCAGACUUGACCAUAAGUUGCUCUUCGCAUGCAGCCCGUUUUAGUGAAGGAUUUCUCCCCACUUGUCAUCCAAGACUCCCACUGAACAAAGAGCGCCACCUUAAAUGCACAAUUUACACUGAUGUCGAGUGGCUGCAAAUACUUUGGGCCAUCUGCUUUUCUUCCCUCUGAAAGCUUUUGUUGUCUUUCUGCACUGAGUCAGUUCCUCACACUGCUGUUUCCAACGUCUUAUCAUCGACUCAUUAAGGCCAAGCUCCCGUGCAGCAGCUCUCUUUCCUUUUCCAACAGCCAGAUCGAUCGCCUUCAACUUGAAAGCUGCAUCAUAUGCAUUUCUCUGUGUCUUUGCCAUGAUGGGGGUGACAAAAUUACUACCGUAAUCAGAAUGAUGGGAAGUUUGAGCGCACUCGAUUUUACGUCACAUUAUGUGACGGUGCUCAGUUUUUUGGCGGCAUGAAUCUUGUGAAAGCGAGAAAAAUCCCUAAAUUAGCCGCGUCAUUGUAUAAACCGCGAGGUUCAAAGCGUGGGAAUAAAGUAGCGGCUUAUAGUCCAGCAAUUACGGUACUCCUCUCUCAAGUAAAGUCUUCCUUUGUAAUGUUCCUAAGAUCUGUUAUUCGUCAUGUGAGUUGAGAUGGGUGUGUCUUGGCUAUAAAUUAUACUAAGAACUGUUUUGUAAGCACUCUCAGAGAUUUAAUUUAUAGACACUGAAUUGAUCUGAGAGUCACAGGGUUUUGAUGGAGCUCAUAUAAUUAAAGAUGGACUUUAUAAUAA